ensembl:lncRNA
GAGAGAGAGAGAGAGAGAGAGAUGAUAUAUCAUCAAAUCACCGUUGUGCUAAACGACACCAGGUCAGUGACGACUUCCAAAACUGAGAAUAAAUGGAGAAUUAUGGGCGUGAUGGUCAGGGGUGCACAUACUUUUGGCUGUAUAGUGUAUUUAAAUGAUCAUUUCAGACCUGAGAACUUUGACUCAGCAUUUUAAUCACACAAUGUAGGCCAGAAGAGCAACGUGACCUGCAGAUGAGUGGAUGUGUGUGAAUCCGGAGUGAUUGACAGCUGUGCAGGUGAUUCGAGCUCUACGCUGGGGAUCAGAGAGAGUGUGUGUGUGUGUGUGUGUGUGUGUGUGUGUAAAUGUGGUGUCCUCAGUGGGCGUGGUACCUUGUGAGACGGAGACGGAGAGGUUCUGAGAGCCCGGUUUCUCCACUGCAGCCGGAGGUUUGGACACGGGGAUUCCUGCUCCUCCGAUGUAGGGGUUAUAACUGUACGUUCCAUAAUCAGCACCCCAAUAAUCAUACCAGGUACUGCUGAUAGGCUGCACACAAACACACACACACACGCAUACACACACGUGACACACCACAGGAAACGAAAAACAAACACACACACAAAACAAAAAGAAACCUGAGAAACUUCUCUCUGAGGAUAAAAUAGAAGGGAGAAAGAACCGAGGUCACAGACCAACGCAGCACCGGUGCCCAGGUCCGAUCUAGAACCGUACCAAGUCCUGAACAUUUCCCUUAAAUGCUUCAUGUGAUAGUUUAAAUCAGUUUAAACAAGAUUUUAAUUUCAUGCCCUCAAAGGCACACAGAGGAAAAGGGUUUGGAAUGGAGCCCUUAAAACAAACAAACAAACAAACAAACAAACAAACCCCUUUUUAUAAUGGAGUUCUAAAAACAACAACAAAAAAAGUAUAAAUAAGUAACUUUUUAAAAAAAUAAAAUAAAUAUAUAGAUAAACAAAAAACUAACUAAAUAAAUGGAGAUAGAUAAAUACAUUUCACGGAGUUUUUGGAGUAAAAAAACAAAGCAAGCCUUAGAUAGAUAAAUAAAUAAAUAAAUAAAUAAAUAAAUAAAUAAAUAAAUAGAAUGGUGCGUGUAAAUUAAUAAAUAAAUAAACAAAGAAACAAACUGCAUUGAGUUUUUAACGAAGUUUUGAGAUUAGGCUAAUUAACUACAAAAUAUUUUUAAUAAAUAUUUUUAGCCAAAGGUGCCAAUAGUUAUGGAGCAGACAGUAUCGAUUAAUGCAUCAAUACAGAACGCUUGAUUAUUUUCCAUAAGGUUUGGAAAUUCUCUAAAUCUAAAGCAUCACGUAAAUGCAGUUGGUGGUAGUGUGUGUGUGUGUGUGUGUGUGUGUGUGUGUGUGUGUGUGUGUGUGUGUGUGUGUGUGUACGCGCUGUGGUGGAAAGGUUAUUAAAGUUUAUUAGGUAAUUCCCCCCACCACUGUAAGAAAGUGUAAUGGUACGGCUCUGGGUUCAUCCGGACCAGCACCAGCUCUGAGUUGGAGGGACAGAGGGGCGACAGAGGGGCGACAGAGGGGCGACAGAGGGGCGACAGAGGGGCGACAGAGGGGCGACAGAGGGGCGACAGAGGGGCGACAGAGGGGCGACUCAGGCAAAAUAAAUAUAUAAACCACACACAUUGAGCAUUUCUCUUAAUAAAACAUGACUCUGGUUUAUUAUUAUUAUUAUUAUUAUUAUUGAUAUUAAUAAGCACUCUGUAGAGAUCCAACAGGAACUAACAGGGAAGGAGGGACAGAGGAAGAAAAUGAGAGAAGGACAGAAGAAGCAGCAGGCAUUAAAGAUGGAGAAAUGAGAGUUGAAAUAUUUUUAUGAUAAUAAAUAAAUAAAUAAAUAAAUAAAAUAAAAUAAAAUAAAGUAAGCCGAGAGAGAAAGCAUGCGUACUGUACCUUAAAGACUUUGGCGGCGAGCGGAUCUUUUUCCAAAUCAAUAUCUAAAGGAUCAAUAUCAACAUCCAUCAGGUCCUGUAGCAAGUCAAAGUCUAUGUCUUUAUCUUUUUCCAAAGAUGACAGUGGAGGAGCACCUUUGGGCAACGAAAAGAGCUUUAAUAUCGCCAAGCAAGCACACUAAGAGACGCCCAUACACACCCACACACACACACACACACACACACACCAAACACUCUUGAAGGAUCCUAAUGAGAGACGCUGACGAGCACACAGUCACGCUGAAGUUGAUCUUGUUUUUGUCUAAGCAGCUGCUGAGUGAACAUGAGAGGAACAUUUGGGGGCGUGGCCUAACCUAGCCUAUCCUUUUAAUGUUGUAAUUAACGUUUGGCAGUUUUCAAAAAAAACCACAACACCUAAAUAUCCAAUCUGAAGGGUGAGAUCAGACAGCGUAUGACUGUGUAUGACUGAUCACUACAUGCCUGUAUACAUCCUUCUCUUUUUAUAAAAUAUAUAUUUCACAUUUUAUUUGAUGUAAAUAAAUCAACAGUAUAUCAGAGAUUUAUAUGUAAUAUAGUUUAAAUGAUUUAUUUUUAUACAUUUUCUUAUACGGUGUAUCUCCUUUAUCCUUUACUGUACACUAGUAUAUACUUAUAAACAUUUACACUUUUAUAAAAGGUAUCAUUAAAUAAACACUGGAAUUAUAUAUUUAUAAAUUUAAAUCACAUAUUUAUAUAUAGUUUACUUAUGCAUUUAUUUUUACACACAUUAUAUAACAUAAUAGAGCUAUGGAAUAAUUACAAAUGCGGUUCAUAAAUGAAUAAUUCGCUGUUUCUACUGUACAUCAUUUAUAUUUAAUAGUGCAUUAUAAUUUUGCAGUUUUAUAAAUGUAUAAUUUAAUAUAAUGACUGAUAAUAUAAGCAAUAUAUUUACAUAUUUAUUGUGGUGUCACUGUAUGAUAUUGUAUGACAAUGUAGAACUAUAAAUAGCUACAAGUAUGUAAUUAUAGAAUAAGUAUAAUUUUGUAGUAGAGAUAAUAUUUAUAUUAUUUAUUUACUUUUAAUUUGUAGAUUUGAUUAUGAAUAAUUACAAUGAACACACACUUCAGCACACAGCUGCUGUACAGAUGUUUAUAAGCAGAGGUCACAUCACUCUGGAUGGAAUUUGACCUCUGCUGUAUAAAAUGAAACAGGAAGUGAAGAUGACAUGCCUCUGUGUUAGUGUGCGCACACACACACACACACACACACACACACACACACACACACACACACACACAGCGCCUCAUGACUGCAGCAGAACAUCAACACUUUGUGAAGCAUCAGGUCUGGACUUUUAUUUAAAAUCACUCAUGCUCAAUAAACAAGACGAGCAAUUAAAAUCCAUGCAGAUAUAUAAGUGUGUGUGUGUGUGUGUGUGUGUGUGUGUGUGUGUGCGUGUGUGGGGACGGUAUUACCAACGCACUUUGGAAAGCAGACGAGCUCCCGGGAGUACCUGCGAUGAGAUCAGGGCCGAGCGGCUCAUCGAUCGUCUCCACCAGCGUGAGCGGAGUGGGCGGAGCCAGAGAGUCGUCAGAGUCCAACACCACCACCGCCGAGGAGGAGGAAGAGGAGGAGAUCCCACCUUCUUCACCUACUGCACCCUCCUCCAUCACAUCCACACACACCGGAGACAUCAACUCUCCUGAGAGCAAGAGACAGCCAAUUAAACAUAAGGCUUUGUUCCAUAUCGUGCACAGUGUGUCUCAAACCUCACAAUCAUGGCUUUUAACACACACACACACACACACACACACACACACCUGCGAGGAUGUCCUGCAGCAUGCAGGUGAGUGAAUAUUGUGCCCAGGCUCCGCCCCAGCUGAUGUCACCGCGGUUGAAGUCCGUUCCCACCAAAAGGAGCAGGAGUCUCUCUAGCUGCUGCUCAGACACAACCUCACACAGGUGGAUUGUGGGUCGUGUGGCGUUCGCUAUCCGAGCUAGAACCUGAGGGCAGGAGAUCAUAAUUAGUGUUACACUAGUGUUAGACUGGUGUGUGUGUGUGUGUGUGUGUGUGUGUGUGUGUGAGCGUACCUUGCAGACGAAGAGCAGCAGGUCAGCGUGGCAGGUGAAGUCCAUGGAGAGCAGGAACAGGGCGAGUUUCUGCACCACACAGAUGCAGCGCUGGUGAGAGAGUGUGAACGGGAGCAGCUCCACCUCCGGAGUCUCCUUCACCGCCGCCGAGGCCGAGUCCGAGUCCAGAGAGGAGCGGGGCCACUCCGCCGUCCGACGCAGGCGGAUCAGAUCCUUAAAGUGCUGAAACACACACACACACACACACACAAAGUCUGGUCUCUUACAGGAACACUGCUGAUCUGUCGUGUGGUACACACUGAGCAGCAGACAGGCAGUCUCACCCUCAGUCUCACCUUAGAUGUGGCUUGUUUGAGUUUGGCCUGUUCCACCAGCAGCUUGUAGGAUGAACCUUUGUUGCUCUGGAUCUUCUCCUUCUCGAUCUGCUCCACCAGAGCUUUCUGCUUCGCUUUCAGCAAAUUCAGCUGCUGCACGCAAAGGGACAGAACACACACACACACACACACACACACACACACACACCAGGUUCGGGCUUAGAACAUGCAAAAGAUAAAAGUGUUAAUUACACACUAUACAGCUGUUCUUUUAGGAAACGGCUGUAAAUCCAGCUGCUGCUGUAACAUCUGGACUGAUUAAAUGGCACUGAAUUAAAUUAUUAUUAACUUCAUUGGAUUAGCGACUUAACAGAUGCUUAAAUGGACUCAUGAGGAGUGAAUUGCCACACAGGUCUUGUAUGAGUCGCAUGUACCUGUUUUGUGUAUGCGUGUGUAUAUGCGUGCGUCACGUGUACCUGUUUGUAGUUUUGUGCGUGUGUGUGGCUCGUGUGUCACGUGUACCGGUUUGUGUAGUUAUGUGUGUGUGUGUGUGCGCAUGUGGUUCACGUGUACCUGUUUGUGUAGUUGUGUGUGUGCGCGCAGUUCACGUGUACCUGUGUGUGUGUAUACGUACGUGUCACGUGUACCUGUUUGUGUAGGUGUGUGUGCGUGACGUGUACCUGUUUGUGUAGUGUGUGUGUGCGCGCGUCACGUGUACCUGUUUGUGUAGGUGUGUGUGCGUGACGUGUACCUGUUUGUGUAGGUGUGUGUGUGCGCGCGUGUCACGUGUACCUGUUUGUGUAGGUGUGUGUGUGCGUGCGCGCGCGUGUCACGUGUACCUGUUUGUGUAGGUGUGUGUGCGUGACGUGUACCUGUUUGUGUAGUUGUGUGUGUGUGUGUGUGCGCGCGUCAUGUGUACCUGUUUUUGUGUGUGUGUGUGUGUGUUUGUGUGCGUGCGUGUCACGUGUACCUGUUUGUGUAGUUGUGUGCGUGCGCGCGCGUCACGUGUACCUGUUUGUGUAGUGUGUGCGUGCACGCGCGUCACGUGUACCUGUUUGUGUAGGUGUGUGUGUGUGUGUGUGUGUGUGUGUGUGUGUGUGUGUGUGUGUGUGUGAGUGUGUGUGCACGCGCGUCACGUGUACCUGUUUGUGUAGUUGUGUGCGUGUGUGUGUGCGCGCGUAUCAUGUGUACCUGUUUGUGUGUGUGUGUGUGUGUGUGUGUGUGUGUGUGUGUGUGUGUGCGCGCACGCGUGUCAUGUGUACCUGUUUGUGGUAGUUGUGUGCGUGCGCGCGCGUCACGUGUACCUGUUUGUGGUGUACCAGCUGUUUGCGUAUCUUGCGUGAGUAAAGUCGGUCUAAACUGCUGUUCCCUUUAGAGGAUCUGCUCGGAGUGUGAGACUGCAGACUGUUGUUGAUGAAACUCCACUGAUUACCUGAGAUCACCCCACACACACACACACACACACACACACACACACACACACACACACACAUUAAACAUUUAAGAUGGGUAGAAACAGGUAGAAUCGGUGGCUCAGUGUG